rnacentral:rRNA from 1 species
UACGGGGGGGGCAAGCGUUGUUCGGAAUUACUGGGCGUAAAGGGCUCGUAGGCGGCCAACUAAGUCAGACGUGAAAUCCCUCGGCUUAACCUGGGAAUUGCAUCCGAUACUGGAUGGCUUGAAUCCGGGAGAGGGAUGCGGAAUUCCAGGUGUAGCGGUGAAAUGCGUAGAUAUCUGGAGGAACACCGGUGGCGAAGGCGGCAUCCUGGACCGGCAUUGACGCUGAGGAGCGAAAGCCAGGGGGAGCAAACGGG